CCUACGGGAGGCAGCAGUGGGGAAUAUUGGGCAAUGGAGGCAACUCUGACCCAGCAACGCCGCGUGAGCGAUGAAGGUCUUCGGAUUGUAAAGCUCUGUCGCAGGGGACGAAGUAUGACGGUACCCUGUAAGAAAGCCCCGGCUAACUCCGUGCCAGCAGCCGCGGUAAUACGGGGGAUGCAAGCGUUAUCCGGAUUUAUUGGGUUUAAAGGGUGCGUAGGCUGUGAGGUAAGUCAGCGGUGAAAUGCCCCCGCUCAACGGGGUGAAGUGCCAUUGAUACUGCCUUGCUGGAAUGCGGAUGCCGUGGGAGGAAUGUGUGGUGUAGCGGUGAAAUGCAUAGAUAUCACACAGAACACCGAUUGCGAAGGCAUCUCACGAAUCCGCGAUUGACGCUGAUGCACGAAAGCGUGGGUAUCAAACAGGAUUAGAUACCCGUGUAGUC
rnacentral:rRNA from 1 species